rnacentral:lncRNA from 1 species
GACAAUCUCGUCUGCCAAUCAGCCUGAGUCUGAGGAAGCAGCAAGAAGCCGAGGUAGACUACCGGAAGAUUUUUGGUGCAUUUCUCUCUAUGGCAUCCAGACAACUGUAGUUCAACUAUGCAAUGUAAGACAGACCAAUAUAUGCAUGCUGUUGUCAAAGACUCCUUCAUCACAGGUCCUUUCACAAGCUUGCUUUAGCAGAACAUCCUUUCUCCUGUCUGCUUCAACAAAACACUCCUUCACAUGUUUGCCCCAGCGAAACACCAUCCAACAAACUGACUUUCCAAAGAACCCUAAAGUUUUCACUUUAGAAUUCUUCAGAAUUCAGAAUUCAGAAUUUAGAUUCUUUGGAAUUAAAUUUUUUAAUGGACAUAUAUCAUAAACUACAGAACAUAAGGAUGUAGAAAAAGUGAAAGAGAGGAGGGGUUAUACCACUUUCACCAAAACUGAAAGGUCUUUUUAAUCAAUGAGACAUACAGGUUGUCAUGGGUAGAGGUGGAGUGAAACUUUGUGUUAAAGAAAAAAAGAA